rnacentral:rRNA from 1 species
AUGCUGCCUUCACAUCGCCAGUCGAGCGGACAGAAGGGAGCUUGCUCCCGGAUGUUAGCGGCGGACGGGUGAGUAACACGUGGGUAACCUGCCUGUAAGACUGGGAUAACUCCGGGAAACCGGAGCUAAUACCGGAUAGUUCCUUGAACCGCAUGGUUCAAGGAUGAAAGACGGUUUCGGCUGUCACUUACAGAUGGACCCGCGGCGCAUUAGCUAGUUGGUGGGGUAAUGGCUCACCAAGGCGACGAUGCGUAGCCGACCUGAGAGGGUGAUCGGCCACACUGGGACUGAGACACGGCCCAGACUCCUACGGGAGGCAGCAGUAGGGAAUCUUCCGCAAUGGACGAAAGUCUGACGGAGCAACGCCGCGUGAGUGAUGAAGGUUUUCGGAUCGUAAAGCUCUGUUGUUAGGGAAGAACAAGUGCGAGAGUAACUGCUCGCACCUUGACGGUACCUAACCAGAAAUCCACGGGUAACUACGGGCCAGCACCCGCGGUAAUACGUGGUUGCCAAGCGUUGUCCGAAAUUAUUGGGGGUAAAGGGUUCUGAGGGGGUUCCUUAAUUCUGAUGUGAAAGCCCCCGUUUCAACCGGACACGCCCAUUGGAAAGUGUAAAGCUUGAG